AUUGAACGCUGGCGGCAGGCCUAACACAUGCAAGUCGAGCGAGCGGCGGACGGGUGAGUAAUGUCUGGGAAACUGCCUGAUGUAGGGGGAUAACUACUGGAAACGGUAGCUAAUACCGCAUACCAUCAGAUGUGCCCAGAUGGGAUGAGCUAGUAGGUGGGGUAAAGGCUCACCUAGGCGACGAGCCCUAGCUGGUCUGAGAGGAUGACCAGCCACACUGGGACUGAGACACGGUCCAGACUCCUACGGGAGGCAGCAGUGGGGAAGAUUGCACAAUGGGCGCAAGCCUGAUGCAGCCAUGCCGCGUGUGUGAAGAAGGCCUUCGGGUUGUAAAGCACUUUCAGCAGGGAGGCGUUACCCGCAGAAGAAGCACCGGCUAACUCCGUGCCAGCAGCCGCGGUAAUAC
rnacentral:rRNA from 1 species